rnacentral:rRNA from 1 species
AUUGAACGCUGGCGGCAUGCUUUACACAUGCAAGUCGAACGGACUUAGGGGCUUGCUCCUGAGUUAGUGGCGAACGGGUGAGUAAUACAUCGGAACGUGCCCGAUCGUGGGGGAUAACGCAGCGAAAGCUGUGCUAAUACCGCAUACGAUCUACGGAUGAAAGCAGGGGACCGCAAGGCCUUGCGCGGACGGAGCGGCCGAUGGCAGAUUAGGUAGUUGGUGGGAUAAAAGCUUACCAAGCCGACGAUCUGUAGCUGGUCUGAGAGGACGACCAGCCACACUGGGACUGAGACACGGCCCAGACUCCUACGGGAGGCAGCAGUGGGGAAUUUUGGACAAUGGGCGCAAGCCUGAUCCAGCCAUGCCGCGUGCAGGAUGAAGGCCUUCGGUUGUAACUGCUUUGUACGGAACGAAAGACUCUCUCUAAUAAGGGGUGAAUGACGGUACCGUAAGAAUAAGCACCGGCUAACUACGUGCCAGCAGCCGA